GGCGAGCGGGUGUUUCAGGGGUGUCGGCUAACCUCAGGCGCCCGAGAAGCGUCUGGCCUGACCUUGGGCCGGACUUGGACUGCUACUGACGCGGUAGGAGGGGCGGUCGAGGAAAGGUGCCGCAGCCGAGACGCGUGGGGCAGGCCCGAGGAUCUUUUCAAAGAAUGGAAGAAAACAUGAAGCUUGCUACAGUGGAAGACACUGUGGAGUAUCACCUAUUCCUGAUACCAGAUGAACCAAGAGACCCAGAAAAACACAAAGAGAUUCUUCAAAAGUAUAUUGAGAGGAUAAUGACCCACUUUGCACCUAUGCUGGUCCCCUAUAUCUGGCAGAAUCAGCCUUUCAAUCUCAAAUACAAACCUGGAAAAGGAGAUGUUCCUGCUCAUAUGUUUGGCAUGACAAAGUUUGGGGAUAACAUUGAGGAUGAAUGGUUUAUUGUUUAUGUAGUAAAGCAAAUUACAAAGGAAUUUCCAGAGUUAGUAGCAAGGAUUGAAGACAAUGAUGGUGAAUUCUUGUUGAUAGAAGCUGCUGACUUUCUCCCUAAAUGGCUGGAUCCUGAUAAUAGUGCCAAUAGAGUAUUUUUCCACCAGGGAGAGCUGUGCAUUAUUCCUGCACCAAGGAAACCUGGAGCAGUAUCCUGGUUACCCUCCACACCCCCUACAAUCCCACAAGCUUUGAAUAUAAUCUCAACACACCCAGAAAAAAUUUUGGCUUCAGAUUCUAUACAAGCUGCUGUGAAUAGGCGCAUUAGAGGAUACCCAGAAAAGAUUCAAGCCUCCCUUCAUCGAGCACACUGCUUCCUUCCAGCUGGUAUCGUAGCGGUGUUAAAGCAGCGCCCCAGAUUGGUGGCUGCAGGAGUCCAAGCAUUUUACCUACGGGACCCUAUUGACCUGCGAGCCUGUCGUAUUUUCAAGACUUUCUUGCCUGAAACACGAAUAAUGGCAUCGGUUACUUUCACUAAAUGUCUGUAUGCACAGUUGGUGCAACAAAGGUUUGUGCCAGACCGGCGGAGUGGAUACAAGAUGCCUCCUCCAUCUCAUCCCCAAUACCGAGCCCAUGAAUUGGGCAUGAAGUUGGCUCAUGGAUUUGAAAUCUUAUGCUCCAAAUGUAGCCCACAUUUUUCUGACUCCAAGAAAUCCGUCAUGACUACCUCACCACUCUGGGCUGGCUUCCUUGAAAGUCUGAAAAAGAAUGAUUACUUUAAGGGUCUGAUAGAAGGUUCUGCUCAGUACCAGGCAAGGCUAGAAAUGGCAAAGAACUACUUCCAACUCUCAGUAAACCGGCCAGAAAGAGACAUGUUGAGUAAGAAGUUGCUGCAGCCAAGAUCAAAAAGCUCUCUUGCUCUGAGCCCAGGUGAAGAAAUCUUAACCUUAUUACAGACCACACCAUUUGAUAUAGAAGAGCUUAAGAAGGAAGAAGCUAAUCUUCCCCCAGAAGAUGAUGACCAGUGGUUAGAUCUCUCACCAGAUCAGCUGGACCAGCUACUGCAGGAAGCUGCUGGCAAAAAAGAAGCAGAGCCCAUUUCCAAGAAGGAGGAACAGAACUAUGACUUGACUCAAGUCUCAGAGAGCAUGAAAGCUUUCAUAUCUAAAGUCUCAACCCACAAAGGAGCAGAGCUGCCUCGAGAACCUUCUGAGGCUCCAAUCACUUUUGAUGCAGAUUCUUUUCUUAAUUAUUUUGACAAGAUUUUAGGGCCAAGACCUCAUGAAUCAGAUUCUGAUGAUCUGGAUGAUGAAGACUUUGAAUGUUUAGACAGUGAUGAUGACUUGGAUCUUAAAACACAGGGGACUGGGGAAGAAGCAUCUUUAAAAGGAACUCUUAAUGAUCUCAAGUCAUACAUGGCCCAGAUGGACCAGGAAUUGGCAAAUACCAGCAUUGGCAAAAGUUUCACCACCCAGAAGCAAAUGGAACCUCUCUCCCAGACUACCAGUAAUAAUUCAGAUGAGGAAGAUUCUGGUGCAGGAGGAUCUGUUAUGACACCAGUGGACGUAGACCUGAACCUGGUUUCCAACAUACUGGAAUCCUAUAGUUCCCAAGCUGGCCUGGCAGGACCUGCGUCCAACCUUUUACAAAGCAUGGGAGUACAGCUGCCUGAUAACACCGAUCACAGACCCACAAGGCUGUGGCCACCUCAUCAUGACUGAACCAGCCAGCUGCCUCUAGUUCUCUCAAGUUCACCUGGAUCUAAAAGACAUAAAGAAAAACAGGAUGUAAGUGCCUGUGCGUAUCUCCAGACUGAGGAAGGAACAGGGAAGUCAGCAUUGAAGAGACUCUGGACUUUUCUUCCAGGCUCCCUACUAACUGAAUUUGUGACCUGGGGCUGUUACCUAGCUUGUCCAAGCUUGGUGUCUGUCUCACUUCUCACAAGGGAAGGAAGGAGACAAAAUGGAUCUAAAGUGUAUUACAACCAUCAAGUUUUCACAUACUAAUUCUCAGGUCCAUUAGACUGCAAAAUCCUUAAGGGUUGGGAUUGUAUCUUUCCCUAUCUAUAGCAUCUAGCACUGUCCUACCACAGUGUAAAACACAAUACAUGUGAAUGAAUGAAUGAAUGAAUAAAUGAAUUUAUCCUAUUUUACAAGUGAGGAAGAUGAAGGUUUAACCAAUCUGAAAUCACAGUUUAGAAAGCGGUAAUUUCAAACCCAGGGCUACAUGGCUCCAAAACCCAUGUUUUGAUGCAAAAUACAUGGGAAAGCACUUUUUAACAUUCAUUUUUAACAUUCAUGUUUUUAAAAAGUACAAAGACUAAUACAGAUGAAAGAAUAUUAUUUUUUACCAACAACUAUUUAAUGAGGAGGUAAGACUGUUAAGAUUAACAAUUUCUCUCAACCUCCUGUAAUAAAUAAUUCCCACAUUUCUCAUCCUGUUCAUCUUAACUGAAGAAAGAGUACUUUAUAAAGCACUACAACAUGAAGAAAAAGCCCAUCUCGAAUCUCUGUGGUACAUCUACAAGGAAGUUUGGUAGUGUUUGAGAGAGCCCUUUUCAGACAGUCUGUCUAUUCAUUACUGUGGACCUCAAUGGAAUGAGGAAAUAUGCAAAACUGAGGAUACAGAUUUCAAGGUCUCACUAAGUAGCUUUAUGGUUUGCUUUUUAAACAUUGUUUCCUCCCUUAAUUCAAAUAUAAUCCAGGCACGAUGCAAAGAAGUUAGCAAAAUCCAUUUUUAAAUGACUCUCCAAGAAAGUAUCAGAAAAAUAUUAGCUUCAGUUACCAGGUAAAACUGUGGUCAUUCCCUGGUUUCUUCAAGAAGUAAGGGAGACUAAGCUAAAAUUACAAAAUGCUGUCACCGAGAGCUUUUUUCAAGUUUUGAUUAUGUCUCCCCAUAAAAUCCCUCCUGCACUUGGAAUCUCAACAGUUUUCUGUUCUACUGUACUCACUCUGAAUUCUGUUGGGGGAGGGCACCUUCCUAGGCCUCAAGAAUCAGCAGAAACCAGGAAACUUCUAAUGUUCCUGGGAAGUAGGGCUUCCCUUCCCCUCAGGGACCAUGGCUGCCUCUGCCACACUUCCCAGAAUCCCCUAGAGAUGUACUCUGGGAAAUGUAGUUCUGUUUUCAUGCUAGCUGUAAUUGUAAACAUGAUUUUGCCUCACUCCCCAGAAUCCACCUAGAGAUGCACUCUGGGAAACGUAGUUCUAUUUUCAUGCUAACUAGUUGUAAGCAUGCUUUUGCCUCACUCCUCAGAAUCCACCUAGAGAUGCACUCUGGGAAUUGCUUAAUCCACAAUUGUGCUGCUACCCACUCCAACUGCAAAGUUAACCAUGAUUGUCAAAAGCAUGAUCUAAGAUCUUCACAAUUCAUUAUCUGGAAAACUGUGUCUUUGGAGACUAUAAACUAGCAUUAGAUUCAAUUUUGAAUAACAAAAUGAUAGUCAAACCCAUCCUAAUACACAGAAAGCAUAUUUGUUGUGGGGGAGGGAAGGAGUGUUGAGGCAGGAAAUCAGAUAACUUUCAACCUUUCUGUACCUUUAUUUCUGUCUCUGUCUACCCACUUUAGAACUAGCUGUAACAUUUCAUGAAAUUCUGCAAUUUAAAAGGACCUGACUGUGUCUAGAUGUGUGGCAGCUUAUGUUAAAAUGCAUCCCUUGAUCAACCAAGGUAGGAUUCCAUCUGUCUGAAAGCAGUCCUCCAGCAGAACUGCUUUGGUUCUGCUCUUUUCUCUACUUACUCCUAAAGUUCCUUGCUUAUAGAUGACAGUUUUGAAGUCCCUUCAUUUACCAUGUAUUUAAUGAAUACCAAAUGUACUUAGGACUAUUAUUAGGAUCAGAUAUAGCAGGGGAAAAAGACAUGAAAAUUUCUGUCCUCCUGGAACUUACAUUCUAAAGGAAGAAACAAACAAGUAUAUAUACAAUGUGUCAGGUGGUUAUAAGUGCUAAGGAGAAAAAUAAAGCACAAUAAGAGGAGGGAGGAUUUUGCUAUUUUUUAUAGGAUGGCGAUGGCGAGCCUCAUUUGAGCAAAGAUAGUGAAGGAGUUGAGGAAGGAAGCCAGGUGGAAAUCUGUGAGAAGAGAUCUGUGGACAGAAAAAAAUCAGCAGAUGCAAAGAUCCCGGGGAGGAAUUGUAACUGGCAGAUCCAAGGAAAGCCCAAGACAAAGCAUGAUGGUCAGAGAUGAGGUCAAAGAGUAGCCAAGUACCAAAUCACGUAGGGCUUCACAAGUCUUAACAAUUUUUGUAGAGCCAUUGUAAUGCUUUCAGUUUUUACUCUGGGAUGGAUGGGAUGUUACAGAAAAAUUUGAGCAAGAUCUCAAUUGAGUGAGAUGAUCUGACUUACAUUUCAAAGGAAUUACUCUGUGUGUGGAGAUUAGACUGUAGGGGAUAAGAGUUAUUAAAUCCUGAAUGUCAUUGUUAAUGUGUAACUCAGUUACAUGGGAAGCAAGAAUGGUAACUGGUUGACCAGCCGUUUCUUUUGGACCUUUUCAUUAAUACAUGAACGCAAGCUUUUUAUCAGGCUGAUUCAUUGUCCUUAAGGAAGGCACAGAAAAUUUGAAGGAUAUAAGAUUAUAAAGUCAAUAAGUUCCAAAGAGAUGGGGAAGCACGCUUAGGGAAACUUAGGGAUCUAAUAAUUUUUUAUUUUUUAUUUUGUAAAGUUUAUUUAUUAUGAGAGUGUGAGUGCACGUGUGUGAGCAUGUGAGCAUGCGAGAUGGGAAGGGGCAGAGAGAGGUGGGGGCAGAGAGAGAAUCCCAAGCCGGCUCCAUGCUGUCAGCACGGAGCCCAACAGGGGGCUUGAUCUAACAAGUGAGAUCAUGACCUGAGCUGAAAUCAAGAGUCCAUUGCUUAACUGAGUGAGCCCCUCUAAUAAUUUUUUAAAAAUCAAAAUAACUAUAUUUUUGAGCAAUUAAGUGUUAAGUGCUACAUAAGAAAAAUAGUGCUAUGGUCUGAAUGUGUUCCCUCAAAAUUCAUAUGUUGAAAUAAUAAUACCCAAUGUAAUACUAUUACAAGGUGAGAUCUUUGGGAGAUGUUUGGGUCAUGAGAGUGGAGCUUUCAUGAAUGGGAUUAAUGCCCUUAUAAAAGAGGCCCAAGAGCACUCCCUUGCUCCUUUCACCAUGUGAGAAGUCGGCAGUCUGCAACUUAGAGGAGGGCCUUUACCAGAGCCCAACCAUGCUGGCACCCUGAUCUUGGACUUCCAAGCUCCAGAAUUGUGGGAAAUAAAUUUCUGUUGUUUAUAAGCUA